rnacentral:rRNA from 1 species
GACGUAGGGGCGCGAGCGUUGUCCGGAUUUAUUGGGGCGUAAAGAGCUCGUAGGCGGUUUGUUGCGUCGGCUGUGAAAUCCCGAGGCUCAACCUCGGGUCUGCAGUCGAUACGAGCAAAACUAGAGUGUUGCAGGGGGAGACUGGAAUUCCUGGUGUAGCGGUGAAAUGCGCAGAUAUCAGGGAGGAACACCCGUGGCGAAAGCGGCUCUCUGGAACGGUACUGACGCUGAGACGCGAAAAAGCGUGGGGGGAGCGAAACAGGGAUUUAGAAAACCCCGUGUAG